UCACCAAAUCCAAUUGGAUUCCCUUGAUCUUAGCACCCCGACCCUAGACAUAAAAGUGUUACUGUUUUCUUGAGUUUAAAUUUACACUCAGGCUUCUUCUCAUUAAAAAUUGAGCACACAAAUGACCUUAGAACUUUUAUACUGUAAGAUACUGUACAGUUUAAAGACUCCAGGGUUUCUAAUUUCUGUAAACAAUUACUCUGUCACAAAGAAGAAGUAGAUAUUUGAAGUAAAAGCAAUGAGUUGGAGAUUAACAACCCUCUGAAAGACACAUGAUCCCCCCUGUGUUGAGUUGAGUCG
rnacentral:lncRNA from 1 species